rnacentral:rRNA from 1 species
GUAGUUACGUGCCCCGAGGUUCGGAAUAGCCAGCCGAAAGGCUGGGUAAUGCCGAAUAAUAUCUCCGGAUCAAAGGUGUGAUUCCGCCUCGGGAGCGGACUGCGUCCUACUAGCUAGUUGGCGGGGUAAUGGCCCACCAAGGCGACAAUGGGUAGCGGGCGUGAGAGCGUGGCCCGUCUCACUGGGACUGAGACACUGCCCAGACACCUACGGGUGGCUGCAGUCGAGAAUCUUCGGCAAUGGGCGCAAGCCUGACCGAGCGACGCCGCGUGCGGGAUGAAGGCCCUCGGGUUGUAAACCGCUUUCGGUUGGGAGGAAAUUUCUCGGGGUUCUCCCCGAGGAUUGACCUAUCUUCGGAAGAAGGACGGGCUAAGUUCGUGCCAGCAGCCGCGGUAAUACGAACCGUCCAAACGUUAUUCGGAUUCAUUGGGCUUAAAGGGUACGUAGGCGGCCCUGUUAGUCGGGUGUGAAAUCCCUCGGCUCAACCGAGGAACUGCGCCCGAUACUGCAGGGCUC